rnacentral:lncRNA from 1 species
UUGAAGCUACCAUUCACAUCAUACUUACCUUGGAGAUCGAGUUUGUAGGCGUUGUUGUUGAUUCGUUUAAGCACUUUGAAUGGUCCAUCGAUUCUUGGCAUUAGCUUUGCUGUUCUUCCGGGAAAUGUUCUUUCCUAAGAUGAACCCACACUUGAUCGCCUUCGUUGAAGAUGACUUCUUUUUGGCCUUUGUUCGCGUACUUCUCAUAAAGCUUCGUCCGGGCUUCAAGAUUCUCCUUAGUCUUCUUGUGAA